GACGACGCUGGCGGCGUGCCUAACACAUGCAAGUCGAGCGGGGUUGAAGCGAGAGGUAACUCGAACUUCUACCUAGCGGCGGACGGGUGAGUAAUAUAUCGGAACGUGCCCAGUCGUGGGGGAUAACGUAGCGAAAGCUACGCUAAUACCGCAUACGAUCUACGGAUGAAAGCGGGGGAUCGCAAGACCUCGCGCGAUUGGAGCGGCCGAUAUCAGAUUAGCUAGUUGGUGGGGUAAAAGCUCACCAAGGCGACGAUCUGUAGCUGGUCUGAGAGGACGACCAGCCACACUGGAACUGAGACACGGUCCAGACUCCUACGGGAGGCAGCAGUGGGGAAUUUUGGACAAUGGGCGCAAGCCUGAUCCAGCAAUGCCGCGUGCAGGAUGAAGGCCUUCGGGUUGUAAACUGCUUUUGUACGGAACGAAACGGUGAGCUCUAAUAAAGCUUGCUAAUGACGGUACCGUAAGAAUAAGCACCGGCUAACUACGUG
rnacentral:rRNA from 1 species